rnacentral:tRNA from 1 species
ACCCUGGUGGUCUAGCAAUUAGGAUAUAGCACUUUAAUAGCUACAGCCCAGGUUCAAUCCCUGGGCUGGGAA